rfam:Botryobasidium botryosum FD-172 SS1 unplaced genomic scaffold BOTBOscaffold_3, whole genome shotgun sequence.
ACACCGGUGGUGAAACGGUAUCAUGCUUGCCUUCCAUUUGCGACAGCAAGCGGCACGGGUUCGACUCCCGUCCGGUGUA